GCAGCUGAGACGGAGUGGAACGCUGUGGUCUGGCAGUGCGUGUUAGCUGGCUGUUGUCCCAAGGUACCAACAGCUGCUCACGGCACUCCAGACUGCCACGCUCAAGAGCAUUGUGGAAAGGC
rnacentral:precursor_RNA from 7 species